GUCUAUGACCAUACCACCCUAAAUAUGCUCAAUUUCGUUGGCUCUGGGAAGCUAAGAAGGGGUGGGCCUAGUUAGUGUCGGAUGGGAGACCACCUGGGAAUAUUGGAUAUUACAGGCU
rnacentral:rRNA from 1 species